AUACGGAGGGUGCAAGCGUUAAUCGGAAUUACUGGGCGUAAAGGGCGCGUAGGCGGUCUAUCAAGUCAGUUGUGAAAUCCCACGGCUCAACCGUGGAGGUGCAUCUGAAACUGAUAGACUUGAGUAUGGGAGAGGAAAGUGGAAUUCCCGGUGUAGAGGUGAAAUUCGUAGAUAUCGGGAGGAACACCAGUGGCGAAGGCGACUUUCUGGACCAAUACUGACGCUGAGGCGCGAAAGCGUGGGGAGCAAACAGGAUUAGAAACCCCAGUAGUCC
rnacentral:rRNA from 1 species